rnacentral:rRNA from 1 species
AACAGCUAGGAGGUUGGCUCAGAAGCAGCCAUCCUUUAAAGAGUGCGUAAUAGCUCACUAGUCGAGUGGCUCUGCGCCGAAAAUGUACCGGGGCUAAACAUAUUACCGAAACUGUGGAUUUAUGCAAUAGCAUAAGUGGUAGGGGAGCGUUCUAAGGGCGACGAAGAUAGAUCGAGAGGACUAUUGGAGCGCUUAGAAGUGAGAAUGCCGGUGUGAGUAACGUAAGGUAGGUGAGAAUCCUACCCACUGAUUGACCAAGGAUUCCAGGGUCAAGUUCGUCUACCCUGGGUAAGUCAGGACCUAAGGCGAGGCUGAGAAGCGUAGUCGAUGGACAACAGGUUUAUAUUCCUGUACUAUUUAUAGGACUGAAGGAGUGACAAAGGAAGCUAGUAAGAGCCAUUUAAUGGAUUAUGGUCUAAGCACAAAGACUGAUACAUAGGAAAAUCCGUGAUAUCGAACGGUUGAAGUGUGAUGGCGAAGCAGUCUACGGACAGCGAAGUCUUAUGAGGCUAAACUUUUUAAAAAAGCUUCUAAAGAAAUGCUAUAAAUACCUGUACUAAGAACCAACGCAGGUGGUCAAGGAGAGAAUCCUAAGGUGAGCGAGAGAACUAUGGUUAAGGAACUCGGCACAAUGAUCCCGUAACUUCGGAAUAAGGGAAGGUCUUGAAAAAGACCCGCAGUGAAUAGGCCCAAGCGACUGUUUACCAAAAACACAGGUUUCUGCAAAAGCGUAAGCUGAAGUAUAGGAGCUGACGCCUGCCCAGUGCUGGAAGGUUAAGAUGAUUUGUAAGAUGGACGAAAGUCGAUAACAUCGAAGCAAUGAAUUGAAGCCCCAGUGAACGGCGGCGAUAACUAUAAUCGUCCAAAGGUAGCGAAAUUCCUUGUCAGGUAAGUUCUGACCCGCACGAAAGGCGUAACGAUUUGGGCGCUGUCUCAGCUGUAGACUCGGUGAAGUCUUAGUACCUGUGAAGAUGCAGGUUACCCGCGACUAGACGGAAAGACCCCAUGGAGCUUCACUGCAGGUUGAUAUUGGGAUUUGAUGCAGCAUGUACAGGAUAGGUAGGAGGCAAAGAGAUGGAUACGCCAGUAUUCAAGGAGCCGCUGUUGGGAUACUACCCCUGUUGUAUUGGAUUUCUAACCGGACGACGUAGAGCCGUUGACGGGACAGUGUCAGUCGGGCAGUUUGACUGGGGCGGUCGCCUCCCAAAGAGUAACGGAGGCGCCCAAAGAUACCCUCAGCUUGGAUGGAAACCAAGCGCAGAGUGCAAAGGCAAAAGGGUGUUUGACUGCGAGACCCACAAGUCGAGCAGGGACGAAAGUCGGGCUUAGUGAUCCGGCGGUGCUGAAUGGAAAGGCCGUCGCUCAACGGAUAAAAGCUACCCUGGGGAUAACAGGCUGAUCUCCCCCAAGAGUUCACAUCGACGGGGAGGUUUGGCACCUCGAUGUCGGCUCAUCGCAUCCUGGAGCUGAAGUCGGUUCCAAGGGUUGGGCUGUUCGCCCAUUAAAGCGGUACGCGAGCUGGGUUCAGAACGUCGUGAGACAGUUCGGUCCCUAUCUGUCGUGGGCGCAGGAAAUUUGAGAAGAGCUGUCCUCAGUACGAGAGGACCGGGAUGGACGCAUCAAUGGUGGACCAGUUGUCACGCCAGUGGCAUAGCUGGGUAGCUAAAUGCGGAAGGGAUAAACGCUGAAGGCAUCUAAGUGUGAAACCCACUUCAAGAUGAGAUUUCCCAUUGCGCAAGCAAGUAAGACCCCUUAAAGACGAUAAGGUAGAUAGGUCAGGAGUGUAAGCAUGGUGACAUGUUAAGCGGACUGAUACUAAUAGGUCGAGGGCUUGACCGA